rnacentral:lncRNA from 1 species
UCCUAUUCUCCUUUUUAUUUUUCUUCUCCUCCUCUAACCCAUUCCUUACCCAUGACCCUUCUUCCCUUCUCCUUUUCCUCAUCCAUUUCUUCUUUUUAUCUUCUUCCUCCUCCAAACCUAUCCAUGAACAAAGGGUAUUUUUGUCCAUUGAGAGAAAAAUCUAACACCAUUUAUUGAUAAAAUAAAUGGCUAGACCACAUCAAAAUAUAUCAAUAAGUAGAAAGAUCG